rnacentral:lncRNA from 1 species
CUCAGCCCGGCGGAGUCUGACUUCCGGAGGGCCAGCGGCGCGCUGGCUGGUUACCAAGGUUACCACCGAGACGCCUAGUCCUCAGCUGGUCCUAGACAUGCGUGGCGUCGGGGAUGUGGCACGGUCGGGUCCGGGGUAAAAUGGCCAUUACCUCGUCUAAGCUGCCACUUACAGACACAGUACAGGAUGAGGCCCAGGCCCACAGAGACAACGAUGAUGGCCACAGCUAAGAUGAUCCAGAAAUUAUUCCUCCACCAGCUCAUUGCAGUGGAAUCCUGAGAAGAAUGGAGAGAGAAGAAUGA